UACGAAGGGGGCUAGCGUUGCUCGGAAUGACUGGGCGUAAAGGGCGCGUAGGCGGUUUGAUCAGUUAGGUGUGAAAUUCCUGGGCUUAACCUGGGGGCUGCACUUAAUACGGUCAGGCUAGAGUGUGAAAGAGGGUCGUGGAAUUCCCAGUGUAGAGGUGAAAUUCGUAGAUAUUGGGAAGAACACCGGUGGCGAAGGCGGCGACCUGGUUCAUUACUGACGCUGAGGCGCGAAAGCGUGGGGAGCAAACAGGAUUAGAUACCCUGGUAGUCCACGCCGUAAACGAUGUGUGCUGGAUGUUGGGUGGCCUAGCCAUUCAGUGUCGUAGCUAACGCGAUAAGCACACCGCCUGGGGAGUACGGCCGCAAGGUUG
rnacentral:rRNA from 1 species